AUUGAACGCUGGAGGCAGGCCUAACACAUGCAAGUCGAACGAGUGGCGGACGGGUGCGUAAUGUCUGGGAAACUGCCUGAUGGAGGGGGAUACCUACUGGAAAAGGUAGCUAAUACCGCAUACCAUCGGAUGUGCCCAGAUGGGAUUAGCUAGUAGGUGGGGUAAAGGCUCACCUAGGCGACGAUACCUAGCUGGUCUGAGAGGAUGACCAGCCACACUGGAACUGAGAAACGGUCCAGACUCCUACGGGAUGCAGCAGUGGGGAAUAUUGCACAAUGGGCUCAAGCCUGAUGCAGCCAUGCCGCGUGUAUGAAGAAGGCCUUCGGGUUGUAAAGUACUUUCAGCGGGGAGGCGUUACCCGCAGAAGAAGCACCGGCUAACUCCGGGCCAGCAGCCGCGGUAAUAC
rnacentral:rRNA from 1 species